UCAAAUUAUUUAAAGCGUAGGGUGGAUACCUAGGCAUCUAGAGACGAUGAAGGGCGUGGAACCGACGAUAUGCUUCGGCGAACUGGAAACAAGUAAAGACCCGAAGAUUCCCGAAUAGGGCAACCUUUUAAACUAUUUGUUAAAUUCAUAAGCAAAUUAGAGAGAACUCAGUGAACUGAAACAUCUUAGUAACUGAAGGAAAAGAAAGCAAAAGCGAUUUCCUUAGUAGUGGUGAGCGAAAAGGAAACAGCCUAAACCAAUUUUUUUUUAAUUGGGGUUGUGGGAUAACUUAUUUUAUAAAUUAAUUUUAAGAAAUUAUGUGAAACAGCUGAAUACUGUACCAUAGAUGGUGAAAGUCCAGUAAUUUAAAAUUUCUUAUUAAUUUAAAGUUUUCCCGAGUAAUAUGGGACACGUGAAAUCCCGUAUGAAUCAGCGAGGACCACCUCGUAAGGCUAAAUACUCCUAGAUGACCGAUAGCGAAGUAGUACCGUGAGGGAAAGGUGAAAAGAACCCCGGAAGGGGAGUGAAAAAGAACAUGAAACCCUAUGCUGACAAACAGUGGGAGGUUAUUAAGUAACUGACCGCGUGCCUGUUGAAGAAUGAGCCGGCGACUUAGAAAAUGUGGCUUGGUUAAGAAUUAUUUCGGAGCCUGAGCGAAAGCAAGUCUUAAAAGGGCGUUUUUAUAUUAUUUAGAAAGAGAUAUGUCAUAUUUUCUAGACCCGAACCCGGGUGAUCUAACCAUGGUCAGGAUGAAAGUUGGGUGAAACCAAGUGGAGGUCCGAACCGACCAAUGUUGCAAAAUUGGCGGAUGAACUGUGGUUAGCGGUGAAAUACCAGUCGAACUCGGAGCUAGCUGGUUCUCCCCGAAAUGUGUUGAGGCGCAGCGUUACAUUAAGUUUAUCUAGGGGUAAAGCACUGCUAUGGUGCGGGCUGUGAGAGCGGUACCAAAUCGUGGCAAACUCUGAAUACUAGAAAUUACGAUGUAAUAGUGAGACUAUGGGGGAUAAGCUCCAUUGUCGAGAGGGAAACAGCCCAGACCACCAGCUAAGGCCCCCAAAUGAUAAUGUAGUGAUAAAGGAGGUGAAAAUGCAAAUACAACCAGGAGGUUGGCUUAGAAGCAGCCAUCCUUUAAAGAGUGCGUAAUAGCCCACUGGUGUUAGCGUUUUUGCGCCGAAAAUGUCCGGGACUUAAUUAUCUGCCGAAGCUGUGGGAUAUUUUUUGUUUUAUAGAGGUUAUUUUUUAAUAACCGAUUCAAGUAUUGGGGUUCUAAUGUGAAGAAUUCUAUGACACACUUAUGAUACACUCACAUUAACAUUAUCUCCACUUAAUUUUCCUUUUUUAAAUUAAAUUAUCUCUCUUUUUUUAAACAAAAAUAUCGGUAGGGGAGCGUUCUGCUUGGGGAGAAGUUUUAAUGAAAAUUAAAAUGGACCGGGCAGAAGUGAGAAUGUCGGCUUGAGUAACGCAAACAUUGGUGAGAAUCCAAUGCCCCGAAAACCCAAGGAUUCCUUCACAAGGUUCGUCCAUGAAGGGUGAGUCAGGCCCUAAGGCGAGGCCGAAUGGCGUAGUCGAUGGAAAACAGGUUAAUAUUCCUGUACUAUUUUGUAUUUGAUACCAGGGGACAGAAGAGGUAGCAAUUUGCUGUUAUUGGAUUUCAGUGUAAGCUUAAGAGGUUUAAGAAAGAAAAAAAACUUUCUUAAAAAUUAACCAAUUAGUAAUGCGUUUAUUUUAUAUAAAUAAAUUUUCUAUCAUAUUCUCAAGAAAAGCCUGUAUUAUCAAUAAAUACAAAAUACCUGUACCUUAAACCGACACAGGUGGGUUAGUAGAGUAUACUAAGGGGCGCGAGCUAACUCUCUCUAAGGAACUCGGCAAAAUGGCCCCGUAACUUCGGGAGAAGGGGUACCAGGGAAUGAUUUUUCAUUUUUUGGUCGCAGUGACCAGGCCCAGGCGACUGUUUAUCAAAAACACAGGUCUCCGCAAAGUCGUAAGACAACGUAUGGGGGCUGACGCCUGCCCAGUGCCGGAAGGUUAAAGAAAUAGGUUAUUCUUUUUAAGAAGAAGCUUGUAACUGAAGCCCCGGUGAACGGCGGCCGUAACUAUAACGGUCCUAAGGUAGCGAAAUUCCUUGUCGGAUAAAUCCCGACCCGCACGAAAGGCGUAACGAUCUGGGCGCUGUCUCGGAGAGAGACUCGGUGAAAUAGAAAUGUCUGUGAAGAUGCGGACUACCUGCACCUGGACAGAAAGACCCUAUGAAGCUUUACUGUAAUCUGAAAUUGAAUUAGAGUUUUUUUUGCGCAGUCUAGGUGGGAGGCGUGAAAAAUUUUCUUUCGGGAAAAUUGUAGCCAAAAAGUGAGAGACCACUCUAAAAAAGUUAUGAUUCUAAUAGCGUCCCUUGAAGCAGGGCGCUUGACAGUUUCAGACGGGCAGUUUGACUGGGGCGGUCAUCUCUUAAAAGGUAACAGAGAUGUGCAAAGGUUCCUUCAGGCUGGACGGAAAUCAGCUGUUGAGUGUAAAGGCAUAAGGGAGCUUGACUGUAAGACCUACAAGUCGAACAGAGGCGAAAGCCGGUCUUAGUGAUCCGACAGUUCCGUGUGGAAGGGCUGUCGCUAAACGGAUAAAAGUUACUCUAGGGAUAACAGGCUGAUCUUCCCCAAGAGUUCACAUCGACGGGAAGGUUUGGCACCUCGAUGUCGGCUCAUCGCAACCUGGGGCGGUAGUACGUCCCAAGGGUUGGGCUGUUCGCCCAUUAAAGCGGUACGUGAGCUGGGUUCAGAACGUCGUGAGACAGUUUGGUCCAUAUCCGGUGUAGGCGUUAGAGUAUUGAGAGGAUUUUUCUAUAGUACGAGAGGACCUAGAAGGACAUACCUCUAGUAUACCAGUUCUUAUGCCAAUAGGAAACGCUGGGUAGCUAUGUAUGGAGAAGAUAACCGCUGAAAGCAUCUAAGUGGGAAACUCACCUCAAGAUGAGUACUCUCUUUUUUUAGUUUUUAACUAAAAAAAAUCGGUCCCGGUAAGACUAACCGUUUGAUAGGUAUUAGGUGUAUAACCAGUAAUGGAAGGAGCUGAAAUAUACUAAAAGACCGAGCGUUUUUGACCA
rnacentral:rRNA from 1 species